AACGAACGCUGGCGGCAUGCCUAACACAUGCAAGUCGAACGAGACCUUCGGGUCUAGUGGCGCACGGGUGCGUAACGCGUUGGAAUCUACCCUUGGGUUCGGAAUAACAGAUAGAAAUGACUGCUAAUACCGGAUGAUGACGUAAGUCCAAAGAUCUAUCGCCCAAGGACGAGCCCGCGUAGGAUUAGCUAGUUGGUGAGGUAAAAGCUCACCAAGGCGACGAUCCUUAGCUGGUCUGAGAGGAUGAUCAGCCACACUGGGACUGAGACACGGCCCAGACUCCUACGGGAGGCAGCAGUAGGGAAUAUUGGACAAUGGGGGCAACCCUGAUCCAGCAAUGCCGCGUGAGUGAUGAAGGCCUUAGGGUUGUAAAGCUCUUUUACCCGAGAUGAUAAUGACAGUAUCGGGAGAAUAAGCUCCGGCUAACUCCGUGCCAGCCGCCGCGGUAA
rnacentral:rRNA from 1 species